CGCUGUUGGAUGCAAAUGGUGAACUAGAAAGAUUAAGAAUUAAAAAAACAGAAUUAGAAGAAUCUUCUGACCAUCUCCGGCACAUGUUUUCUGUCCAUCAAGCUGAAAAGGCUGCACUUAUCUCCCACAUGGAGAUUGCUGCUCAAAAUAUGGAGAAACUUUUAAAGAAAAAUACGUUCUUGGAGAACACCCUAUCUGAUAUGAACGUUGAACUAGAAGUUUUGAGAGAAAAUUUGAAAAAUGUGGAAGUUUCCUGCAAAUCA
rnacentral:lncRNA from 1 species